rnacentral:rRNA from 1 species
UUGGUUAAGUUAGAAAGGGCGCACGGUGGAUGCCUUGGCACUAGGAGCCGAAGAAGGACGGGACUAACACCGAUAUGCUUUGGGGAGCUGUACGUAAGCGUUGAUCCAGAGAUUUCCGAAUGGGGGAACCCACUAUCUUUAGUCGGAUAGUAUCCUUACGUGAAUACAUAGCGUGAGGAAGGCAGACCCAGGGAACUGAAACAUCUAAGUACCUGGAGGAAGAGAAAGAAAAAUCGAUUUCCUGAGUAGCGGCGAGCGAAACGGAAAGAGCCCAAACCAAGAAGCUUGCUUCUUGGGGUUGUAGGACACUCUAUACGGAGUUACAAAAGAAAGUUAUAAAUGAAGCGGUCUGGAAAGGCCCGCCAAAGACGGUAACAGCCCGGUAGUUGAAAUGGCUUUCCCUCCAGAGUGGAUCCUGAGUACGGCGGAACACGUGAAAUUCCGUCGGAAUCCGGGAGGACCAUCUCCCAAGGCUAAAUACUCCCUAGUGACCGAUAGUGAACCAGUACCGUGAGGGAAAGGUGAAAAGCACCCCGGAAGGGGAGUGAAACAGUUCCUGAAACCGUGUGCCUACAAGUAGUUAGAGCCCGUUAAUGGGUGAUAGCGUGCCUUUUGUAGAAUGAACCGGCGAGUUACGAUUUGUUGCAAGGUUAAGCGGAAAAAGCGGAGCCGUAGCGAAAGCGAGUCUGAAUAGGGCGCAUAAGUAACAGGUCGUAGACCCGAAACCAGGUGAUCUACCCAUGUCCAGGAUGAAGGUAAGGUAAUACUUACUGGAGGUCCGAACCCACGCACGUUGAAAAGUGCGGGGAUGAGGUGUGGGUAGCGGAGAAAUUCCAAUCGAACUUGGAGAUAGCUGGUUCUCUCCGAAAUAGCUUUAGGGCUAGCCUCGAGGUAAAGAGUCAUGGAGGUAGAGCACUGUUUGGACUAGGGGCCCUUCUCGGGUUACCGAAUUCAGAUAAACUCCGAAUGCCAUGUACUUAUACUCGGGAGUCAGACUGCGAGUGAUAAGAUCCGUAGUCG